GAGUUUGAUCAUGGCUCAAAACGAACGCUGGCGGCAGGCCUAACACAUGCAAGUCGAGCGAGCAUUUCGGUGCUAGCGGCGGACGGGUUAGUAACCCGUGGGAACGUGCCCUUUCGUACCGAAUACUCCUGGGAAACUGGGGGUAAUACCGUAUGUGCCCUUCGGGGGAAAGAUUUAUCGGCAAAGGAUCGGCCCCCGUUGGAUUAGGUAAUUGGUGGGGUAAUGGCCUACCAAGCCGACCAUCCAUAUCUGGUUUGAGAGGAUGAUCCGCCACACUGGGACUGAAACACUGCCCAAACUCCUACGGGACGCAACAAAUCCAAUUCCCCCCGGCGCCAUGGCUUCCGGGACAUUCUACUC
rnacentral:rRNA from 1 species